AUACGUAUGUCGCAAGCGUUAUCCGGAAUUAUUGGGCGUAAAGCGAGUCUAGGUGGCUUGUUAAGUCAGAUGUGAAAAUGCGGGGCUCAACUCCGUAUUGCGUUUGAAACUGGCAGGCUAGAGUACUGGAGAGGUGGGCGGAACUACAAGUGUAGAGGUAAAAUUCGUAGAUAUUUGUAGGAAUGCCGAUAGUGAAGACAGCUCACCGGACAGAUACUGACGCUAAAGCUCGAAAGCGUGGGGAGCGAACAGGAUUAGAAACCCGAGUAGUCC
rnacentral:rRNA from 1 species